ACCCCUAAUGAUGAUAAAAUCAAUACUUUUGUUCUUCCGAGAUGUUCCCAUGCGGAAAAGACUUUUUUGGAGACCUGAACUGAAGAGGC